rnacentral:lncRNA from 1 species
CAAACAACACACAAACGGGAAACCGAAUGCCAAUCGCUGGACUUACAUCAGACUCCAAACAAACAACAAACAAACGGGAAACCGAAUGCCAAUCGCUGGACUUACAUCAGACUCCGUACAAAGAAACGCAGACAGGAAACCGAAUGCCAAUCGCUGGACUUACAUCAGACUCCAAACACACACACAAGAGGGUUAAAAAGAAAAAGGGCGCCUGUCGCAGCCUGAAAAAUACAGUGGUGCGAAAAAACAACCGGCGAGAAAGAAAAUGAC